rnacentral:misc_RNA from 1 species
UUUCCGUAGGUGAACCUGCGGAAGGAUCAUUACUGAGGUAUGCUCGGUGCCGCGCAAGCGCUCCGGUUACCCGCCCAUAUGUCAUCUGUGCUGGGACCCCGUCCUUCUGGCCUUCGGGCCGGGGGGAAAAGGGGGAACAGGAAGAACAUUUCGGUCGAUGUGUUUUUGGUUGUGCGCCUGAGAAGGAGUAUGAUUUUAAACCGCGGCCGGCCGUAAUUUACACUCUUGUGAGAACAUGAAGUCUGAAGCAGAUUGAAAAAUUAUACAAAACUUUCAACAACGGAUCUCUUGGCUCUGGCAUCGAUGAAGAACGCAGC